CUCUAAAUCCUCACCAACAUUAAUCUUCCUCUUCAGAGAGACAUCUCUCAGCUCCCAAAUUUCUAGGGUUUCUUCUCUGCACGCCUCCCAAUGCGGACGCAUACGUAAUCUAGCUAUCUACGUACACUGCAACGUACCUAGCUUAUAUAUUCAAUCAGGCUUUAUCAGUUUUGAAAUUGCAGAAGGGCAAUCAAAUGCUUGAAGAUUACCCCAGAUCUUUCAGAGAAGCAGCUGCAGUUUUCCAGCAUGCUCAAGUAUAUGACUCUGACAAGAAAAUUGUCAAGCAUAUGAGACCCAUACCACAAGAGCUUGUGGAGUCCCUUGAUGGAGAACUUGAUUUCCUUGGAUCGUAUUUUUUUGUUAUUUAUUUCUUGUUGUUGUCAGGUUAAAUUUAUACUUACCUAUAAGGUUUGCCUAUUUCAUAUCACAUUUAUUUUCCUUGACCAUAAAUUGAACUAGAGAAAUCCCUUCAUCAAUAGGCAUUGCAAUUGUUGAAAGAAAAUUGGACCCCAUAAGUAUGGAGGUCUUUGAUCAUUUCCCUAGUUCCAUUUCUAGACAUCGGUCAGAUCCCAUUAAGAGCCAAAUUACUCAUCACUUUCAGAGAUCUGAGACUGCUACUGUAUCUACACAAGUCAGUAGCUUUGUGACCUUUUCCUAUAAAACCAGAAAACAAGAUAGAAUUUAGGAUGGAACUGAUGAAUUAAAUACUUAUCUACACAAGUAUCGCACAGAGUUAGAUCAACAUCUUGGUGCUCUUGUGGGGAGAUAUAUAAGGAAGCUGAGAAGUUUGCUUAUUAGAAUGGAGCAAAGGUGGCUGUUGUUUAUGGUGGAACGCCAAUGGGUCAGCAAGUUUGUGUCUCUGCAGGCUUACUGGCCAUUCCGUUUUCUAUGACCACUUCUAUGAUUCGGGUGAUUCCAUUCAUGAUCAGAUUGUGAAACUGGUACAGCAGUACACCUAGCUAGUUCCUUUAUUAACUUGUGUCUUGUAGAAAUUUUUCAUUCAUUAAGCAUUUGAACUUGUCUGCAGAUUAGUAGAUAUGAGUUAUUUUGAACUGAUGUUCAUGAUUAGGUUUGUGUACAUGAGACAAUGGUGGAUUAAUGGAAAUUGCAAUGAAUGAUUUUGGA